UGAUGGGCAACCCAAGCCUACCAAGGCAUGAGAUGACCCCUUAGCCUUCUAUCAUAGCAUAGUAAAAUAAGAAACAUGCAAAAGAAAAAUCAUAAUGUAAGUAGUUUAAUAAACCAUAAUUUAAAGUUUGAGAAUAAACACAAAUCCAGAAAAUAAUAACCCAAUGUUCUCUAUAAAGCCUUUAUCCAUAAACAGCCACUAAGUCGGUACAUGACCCUAACUAUACUAAAG
rnacentral:lncRNA from 1 species